GUGCCAGCAGCCGCGGUAAUACGUAGGUGGCAAGCGUUGUCCGGAAUUAUUGGGCGUAAAGCGCGCGCAGGCGGCCUUUUAAGUCUGAUGUGAAAGCCCCCGGCUCAACCGGGGAGGGUCAUUGGAAACUGGGAGGCUUGAGUGCAGAAGAGGAGAGUGGAAUUCCAUGUGUAGCGGUGAAAUGCGUAGAUAUGUGGAGGAACACCAGUGGCGAACGCGACUCUCUGGUCUGUAACUGACGCUGAGGCGCGAAAGCGUGGGGAGCAAACAGGAUUAGAUACUCUGGUAGUCC
rnacentral:rRNA from 1 species